rnacentral:rRNA from 1 species
GACGAACGCUGGCGGCGUGCUUAACACAUGCAAGUCGAACGGAAAGGCCCUGCUUUUGUCGGGUGCUCGAGUGGCGAACGGGUGAGUAACCCGUGAGUAACCUGCCCUUGACUUUGUGAUAACUUCAGGAAACUGGGGCUAAUACCGGAUAGGUGCUCCUGCUGCAUGGUGGGCGUUGGAAAGUUUCGGCGGUUGGGGAUGUACUCGCGGCUUAUCAGCUUGUUGGUGGGGUAGUGGCUUACCAAGGCUUUGACGGGUAGCCGGCCUGAGAGGGUGACCGGCCACAUUGGGACUGAGGUACGGCCCAGACUCCUACGGGAGGCAGCAGUGGGGAGUAUUGCACAAUGGGCGGAAGCCUGAUGAAGCAACGCCGCGUGCGGGAUGACGGCCUACGGGUUAUAAACCGCUUUAGCCUGAGACGAAGCGUGAGUGACGGUAAUGGGUAAAGAAGCACCGGCUAACUACGUG